rnacentral:rRNA from 1 species
UACGUAGGUGGCAAGCGUUGUCCGGAAUUAUUGGGCGUAAAGCGCGCGCAGGCGGCCUCUUAAGUCUGAUGUGAAAGCCCCCGGCUCAACCGGGGAGGGCCAUUGGAAACUGGGAGGCUUGAGUAUAGGAGAGAAGAGUGGAAUUCCACGUGUAGCGGUGAAAUGCGUAGAGAUGUGGAGGAACACCAGUGGCGAAAGCGACUCUUUGGCCUAUAACUGACGCUGAGGCGCGAAAGCGUGGGGAGCAAACAGG